AUUGAACGCUGGCGGCAUGCCUUACACAUGCAAGUCGAACGGCAGCACGGGAGCAAUCCUGGUGGCGAGUGGCGAACGGGUGAGUAAUAUAUCGGAACGUGCCCAGUAGUGGGGGAUAACUGCUCGAAAGAGCAGCUAAUACCACAUACGACCUGAGGGUGAAAGGGGGGGAUCGCAAGACCUCUCGCUAUUGGAGCGGCCGAUAUCAGAUUAGCUAGUUGGUGGGGUAAAGGCCUACCAAGGCAACGAUCUGUAGUUGGUCUGGGAGGACGACCGGCCACGCUGGGACUGAGACACGGCCCAGACUCCUACGGGAGGCAGCAGUGGGGAAUUUUGGACAAGGGGCGCAAGCCUGAUCCAGCAAUGCCGCGGGCAGGAAGAAGGCCUUCGGGUUGUAAACUGCUUUUGUCAGGGAAGAAAUCCUCUAGGUUAAUACCCUUGGGGGGAUGACGGUACCUGAAGAAUAAGCACCGGCUAACUACGUGCCAGCCGCCGCAGUAAGAC
rnacentral:rRNA from 1 species